rnacentral:rRNA from 1 species
AGAGUUUGAUCCUGGCUCAGGAUGAACGCUGGCGGCGUGCCUAACACAUGCAAGUCGAACGAAGCACUUGAACUCGAUUUCUUCGGAAGGAAGGUUCUCGUGACUGAGUGGCGGACGGGUGAGUAACGCGUGGGUAACCUGCCUCAUACAAGGGGAUAACAGUUAGAAAUGGCUGCUAAUACCGUAUAAGACCACAGCACCGCAUGGUGCGGUGGUAAAAACUCCGGUGGUAUGAGAUGGACCCGCGUCUGAUUAGCUGGUUGGCGGGGUAACGGCCCACCAAGGCGACGAUCAGUAGCCGACCUGAGAGGGUGACCGGCCACAUUGGGACUGAGACACGGCCCAAACUCCUACGGGAGGCAGCAGUGGGGAAUAUUGCACAAUGGGGGAAACCCUGAUGCAGCGACGCCGCGUGAGCGAAGAAGUAUUUCGGUAUGUAAAGCUCUAUCAGCAGGGAAGAAAAUGACGGUACCUGACUAAGAAGCACCGGCUAAAUACGUGCCAGCAGCCGCGGUAAUACGUAUGGUGCAAGCGUUAUCCGGAUUUACUGGGUGUAAAGGGAGCGUAGACGGCUGUGUAAGUCUGGAGUGAAAGCCCGGGGCUCAACCCCGGGACUGCUUUGGAAACUAUGCAGCUAGAGUGUCGGAGAGGUAAGUGGAAUUCCCAGUGUAGCGGUGAAAUGCGUAGAUAUUGGGAGGAACACCAGUGGCGAAGGCGGCUUACUGGACGAUGACUGACGUUGAUGCUCGAAAGCGUGGGGAGCAAACAGGAUUAGAUACCCUGGUAGUCCACGCCGUAAACG